rnacentral:rRNA from 1 species
GACGAACGCUGGCGGCGUGCUUAACACAUGCAAGUCGAACGAUGAUCCGGUGCUUGCGCCGGGGAUUAGUGGCGAACGGGUGAGUAACACGUGAGUAACCUGCCCUGGACUCUGGGAUAACCCCGAGAAAUCGGAGCUAAUACCGGAUAGGACCUUGGACCGCAUGGUUCGGGGUGGAAAGUUUUUUCGGUUUGGGAUGGACUCGCGGCCUAUCAGCUUGUUGGUGAGGUAAUGGCUCACCAAGGCGUCGACGGGUAGCCGGCCUGAGAGGGUGACCGGCCACACUGGGACUGAGACACGGCCCAGACUCCUACGGGAGGCAGCAGUGGGGAAUAUUGCACAAUGGGCGCAAGCCUGAUGCAGCAACGCCGCGUGCGGGAGGACGGCCUUCGGGUUGUAAACCGCUUUUGGUGAGGAAGAAGGGGCUCUUUUUGGGGGUCUUGACGGUACUUGCAGAAAAAGGACCGGCUAACUACGUGCCAGCAGCCGCGGUAAUACGUAGGGUCCGAGCGUUGUCCGGAAUUAUUGGGCGUAGAGAGCUCGUAGGCGGUUUGUCGCGUCUGCUGUGAAAUCCCGAGGCUCAACCUCGGGUCUGCAGUGGGUACGGGCAGACUGGAGUGCGGUAGGGGAGAAUGGAAUUCCUGGUGUAGCGGUGGAAUGCGCAGAUAUCAGGAGGAACACCGAUGGCGAAGGCAGUUCUCUGGGCCGUAACUGACGCUGAGGAGCGAAAGCGUGGGGAGCGAACAGGAUUAGAUACCCUGGUAGUCCACGCCGUAAACGUUGGGCGCUAGAUGUGGGGACCUUUCCACGGUUUCCGUGUCGUAGCUAACGCAUUAAGCGCCCCGCCUGGGGAGUACGGCCGCAAGGCUAAAACUCAAAGGAAUUGACGGGGGCCCGCACAAGCGGCGGAGCAUGCGGAUUAAUUCGAUGCAACGCGAAGAACCUUACCAAGGCUUGACAUACACCAGAACACCCUGGAGACAGGGGACUCUUUGGACACUGGUGUACAGGUGGUGCAUGGUUGUCGUCAGCUCGUGUCGUGAGAUGUUGGGUUAAGUCCCGCAACGAGCGCAACCCUCGUCGCAUGUUGCCAGCACGUCAUGGUGGGAACUCAUGUGAGACUGCCGGGGUCAACUCGGAGGAAGGUGGGGAUGACGUCAAAUCAUCAUGCCCCUUAUGUCUUGGGCUUCACGCAUGCUACAAUGGCCGGUACAAAGGGCUGCGAUGUCGUAAGGCGGAGCGAAUCCCAAAAAGCCGGUCUCAGUUCGGAUUGAGGUCUGCAACCCGACCUCAUGAAGUCGGAGUCGCUAGUAAUCGCAGAUCAGCAACGCUGCGGUGAAUACGUUCCCGGGCC